rnacentral:rRNA from 1 species
UACAGAGGGGGCAAGCGUUGUUCGGAAUUACUGGGCGUAAAGGGCGUGUAGGCGGCCUUCUAAGUCGAACGUGAAAUCCCCGGGCUCAACCCGGGAACUGCGUCCGAUACUGGAAGGCUUGAAUCCGGGAGAGGGAUGCGGAAUUCCAGGUGUAGCGGUGAAAUGCGUAGAUAUCUGGAGGAACACCGGUGGCGAAGGCGGCAUCCUGGACCGGCAUUGACGCUGAGGCACGAAAGCCAGGGGAGCAAACGGG